rnacentral:rRNA from 1 species
AUUGAACGCUGGCGGCAGGCCUAACACAUGCAAGUCGAGCGAGCGGCGGACGGGUGAGUAAUGUCUGGGAAACUGCCUGAUGGAGGGGGAUAACUACUGGAAACGGUAGCUAAUACCGCAUACCAUCAGAUGUGCCCAGAUGGGAUUAGCUAGUAGGUGGGGUAAUGGCUCACCUAGGCGACGAUCCCUAGCUGGUCUGAGAGGAUGACCAGCCAGACUGGGACUGGGACACUGUCCAGACUCCUCCGGGAGGCAGCAGUGGGGAAUAGUGCACAAUGGGCGCAAGUCUGAUGCAGCCAUGACGCGUGUGUGAAGAAGGCCUUCGGGUUGUAAAGCACUUUCAGCGGGGAGGCGUUACCCGCAGAAGAAGCCCCGGCUAACUCCGUGCCAGCCGCCGCGGUAAUAC